rnacentral:SRP_RNA from 1 species
UAAAGGAAGCCGGGUGGCAUAAGCGCUGCCAACCCCGUCAGGCCCGAGAGGGAGCAGCGGUAACAGUUGCUUGUGGGUGCCUGGCUUCCUUGAAAG